rnacentral:rRNA from 1 species
GUUGACCUCGGAUCACGUAGGAAUACCCGCUGAACUUAAGCAUAUCAAUAAGCGGAGGAAAAGAAACCAACAGGGAUUGCCUUAGUAACGGCGAGUGAAGCGGCAAUAGCUCAAAUUUGAAAUCUGGCGCUUGCGUCCGAGUUGUAAUUUGUAGAGGAUGAUUUUGGUUAGGUACCUUUCGAGUUCCUUGGAACAGGACGCCUUAGAGGGUGAGAGCCCCGUACGAUUGGAUGCCGAGCCUCUGUAAAUCUCCUUCGACGAGUCGAGUAGUUUGGGAAUGCUGCUCUAAAUGGGAGGUAAAUUUCUUCUAAAGCUAAAUACCGGCCAGAGACCGAUAGCGCACAAGUAGAGUGAUCGAAAGAUGAAAAGCACUUUGAAAAGAGGGUUAAAUAGCACGUGAAAUUGUUGAAAGGGAAGGAUUUAUGACCAGACUUUUUCUAGGAGAAUCAUCCGGUGUUCUCACCGGUGCACUUCUUUUAGUUUAGGCCAGCAUCGACUUUCGGCGGUGGAUAAAAGCUUUAGGAAUGUGGCUUCCCUCGGGAAGUGUUAUAGCCUAUUGUAUAAUACACUGCUGGGGGUCGAGGUACGCGCUUCUGCAAGGAUGCUGGCGUAAUGGUUAUCAAUCACCCGUCUUGAAACACGGACCAAGGAGUCGAACAUUUGUGCGAGUGUUUGGGUGUUAAACCCUCACGCGUAAUGAAAGUGAACGGAGGUGAGAGCCCUUACGGGUGCAUCAUCGACCGAUCCUGAUGUUUUCGGAUGGAUUUGAGUAAGAGCAUAAUGUUCGGACCCGAAAGAUGGUGAACUAUGCGUGGAUAGGGUGAAGCCAGAGGAAACUCUGGUGGAGGCUCGCAGCGGUUCUGACGUGCAAAUCGAUCGUCAAAUCUGCGCAUGGGGGCGAAAG